GUGGGGAAUAUUGGGCAAUGGAGGCAACUCUGACCCAGCAACGCCGCGUGAAUGAAGAAGGCCUUCGGGUUGUAAAGUUCUUUAAUGGGGGACGAAGAAAGUGACGGUACCCCAAGAAUAAGCCACGGCUAACUACGUGCCAGCAGCCGCGGUAAUACGUAGGUGGCAAGCGUUGUCCGGAAUGACUGGGCGUAAAGGGAGCGUAGGCGGCGCGGUAAGUUAGGAGUGAAAUCCCGGGGCUCAACCCCGGAACUGCUUUUAAAACUGCCGUGCUUGAGUGAUGGAGAGGAAAGCGGAAUUCCUAGUGUAGCGGUGGAAUGCGUAGAUAUUAGGAGGAACACCAGAGGCGAAGGCGGCUUUCUGGACAUUAACUGACGCUGAGGCUCGAAAGCGUGGGGAGCAAACAGG
rnacentral:rRNA from 1 species